CUAAGGCUUGGAUAUAAGUGUGUC
rnacentral:siRNA from 1 species